GAGUUUGAUCCUGGCUCAGGACGAACGCUGGCGGCGUGGAUUAGGCAUGCAAGUCGCGCGACGGGCCCUCGGGCUACGGAGCGGCGAACGGGUGAGUAACACGUGAACAAUCUGUCCCUACAUUCCGGAUAAUUGGCCGAAAGGCCUUGUAAUACGGGGGAGGAUCCUCGGGAGGCAUCUUUUGAGGAAGGAAGGCGCAAGCCGUGCAGGGAGGAGUUCGCGGCCUAUCAGUUAGUUGGUGGGGUAACGGCCUACCAAGACGACGACGGGUAGCUGGUCUGAGAGGAUGGUCAGCCACAUUGGAACUGAGAUACUGUCCAGACUCCUACGGGAGGCUGCAGUCGAGAAUCUUGGGCAAUGCACGAAAGUGUGACCCAGCGACGCCGCGUGGAGGAUGAAGGUCCUUGGAUUGUAAACUCCUUUUAUUGGGGAAGAAUGCCUUCGGGUUUGUACGGUACCAAUGAAUAAGCCACGGCUAACUACGUGCCAGCCGCCGCGGUAAC
rnacentral:rRNA from 1 species